rnacentral:rRNA from 1 species
UUGGGAGCUCUCCCAUAUGGUCGACCUGCAGGCGGCCGCGAAUUCACUAGUGAUUACGGCUCAGUAACACGUGGACAAUCUGCCCUGAAGAGGAGGAUAAUCCCGGGAAACUGGGGGUAAUACUCCAUAGUUCGUGCUGACUGGAAUGUUAUGCGAACGAAAGAUCCGUCGCUUCAGGAUGAGUCUGCGGCCGAUUAGGUAGUUGUUGGGGUAACGGCCCAACAAGCCUGUCAUCGGUACGGGUUGUGGGAGCAAGAGCCCGGAGAUGGAUUCUGAGACACGAAUCCAGGCCCUACGGGGUGCAGCAGGCGCGAAAACUUUACAAUGCUGGCAACAGCGAUAAGGGAACCUCGAGUGCCGGGUUACAAAUCUGGCUGUCGAGAUGCCUAAAAAGCAUUUCAUAGCAAGGGCCGGGCAAGACCGGUGCCAGCCGCCGCGGUAACACCGGCGGCUCGAGUGGUAACCGUUAUUAUUGGGUCUAAAGGGUCUGUAGCCGGCCGGAUAAGUCUCUUGAGAAAUCUGGCAGCUUAACUGUCAGGCUUUCAAGAGAUACUGUCUGGCUCGAGGCCGGGAGAGGUGAGAGGUACUUCAGGGGUAGGGGUGAAAUCUUGUAAUCCGUGAAGGACCACCAGUGGCGAAGGCGUCUCACCAGAACGGACCUGACGGCGAGGGACGAAAGCUAAGGGCACGAACCGGAUUAGAUACCCGGGUAGUCCUAGCCGUAAACGAUACUCGCUAGGUGUCGGCCACGGUGCGACCGUUGUCGGUGCCGUAGGGAAGCCGUGAAGCGAGCCACCUGGGAAGUACGGCCGCAAGGCUGAAACUUAAAGGAAUUGGCGGGGGAGCACCGCAACGGGUGGAGCUUGCGGUUUAAUUGGAUUCAGCGCCGGAAUCUUACCGGGACCGACAGCGAUAUGAAGGCCAGGCUGAAGACUUUGCCGGAUUAGCUGAGAGGUGGUGCAUGGCCGUCGUCAGUUCGUACUGUGAAGCAUCCUGUUAAGUC